UCACAUGGGCCUUGGAGAAUGAAGGUAGAGAAAAGGGAGGGUGGCUAGGGAAGGAAAGGCGAUCCAAUGUGAUGGACCAUGUGGUGUAUAAAGUGAGGAAACAGAGCCACGCGAGUUAGGGUCGAAUCAUAGAAGGCCCCAAAUGACAGGCCGAGGGGGUUGCAUUUAAUAAAAUCAGGGGACCUGCUGAGUACGAAAGUAAUGGGAUCAGAGGGGAAUCAGAGGAAAACCAGAGAUACAGAAACUAGUUAGGUGGCUACUGCAAUGGUCCAGGCUAGACAUUGUGGGCACUGCACCCUCCUGGAGAGGAUACAAAGAGCUACUGGAGAGGCCAGAAGGAGACAGAGGUUUGGAAAUAGACAGCAGUGAGUCAAAUGAGCGGCAGCGGGUGAGAAUUCAAGGGGCUGAGUCUUGGGAAGAAAGGCAGAGCUCUAACCAGAACGUGGGCUUGAUGGGGGAGGGGGCGGGGACUAAGGUGGGCAGGGGACGAUGACAAGAAGCUUGGUCCUCAAUAGGGAAAGUAUGAGUUGACAGUAACCACUCAGAGAUAGGAGACCAAAGCUCAGGAGAGGGGUAGAGCUGGAGGGAGAGGAGGCGGGGACAGUAAUUUUGACUCACUUACCCAUGCAAGUGCAGGAUGAAGACUUCAGAGAGAGACACAAAGGGAAUCAUGGGGAGCCUUGGGGGCGGAGAGUAGACACCACCUGGACAUCACUGGCUCCCUGUGUGUUAAAGCUUCCUGAGGUCAGAGGAAGAGGAAGCACAGAAAACGGAGGAGGGACUUCUUACAGGAGAGAACCAGAGCACUGAUCCUUUCCUGGACAUUUCAUAGAAAUGGAAUCACACCCUAUGUGGUCUUUGCAUCUGACUUCUUCACAAAAGGGUAAUGUUUUGGAGGUUUACCCGUGCCAUAAUGAGGGAAAUGGAGGCAUCACCCAUCACUCACCCAAGGUUGCAGCAAGAGAUGGUGAAGGUCUGAUGGAAGGCAGUGACCACUAGCAUGGACAGGUAUUUGAGAGAGAAUCGGCAGCACUUGGAGGCAGCUGGCUGUGGGGAGGAGGGGAAGCUGAGGCUUCCCGCACAUCAUGGGUGGGAUGUAGGAGGAGACAGAGCAGGUUGGAGGGGAAGAUAAUGAGCUCAGGCUUCCAGCUGCCCAGAUGUCUCCAAGCCGCUCUCUUGAGAAAUGGUGUUUAUUACAUGACAAUGUCUAUAAUUUGGCUUCCGGCAUGACUCGAUAAUUAGCUUAAGUUAUCCUUCUUUGGCAUUUCAUUCAAAGCAAGGACACUCUUACAUUCAUUCUGAUGAGACCUGUUUUCUGUUCGAGGUACAGGAGGACAGUGAGCCUAGAGCCCUACAGUCUGUCUCCUGGCUCGAGUGGGUCAGAGACUGAAGCCAGUGGAUGGGCUGUCUGUCCUCUCAGCUAGCAUCUGUCUGCCUCUGGGGCUUAGAAGUGUGGAUGCCCCCUCUGAUAGGGAGCCGCCUGAGGGUGGGGUCCUGGAACCUGAACAUUCCGUGCCCAGCAGAAGUGUAGCCCAGAGAUUGGUUCCAAGAGCCACUGGGAGAUACAGUGAGGAGAAAGAUGGUUAACAGAAGUCCACUGGGAGGCACCUGCCGAGGUUGCCACAGGGAUGCUUAGGGCUGAAAGGGGGCUGCGUUUAGGGAAACUUUGAUUUAAGAGGUAUUUACAAGGCAGGUUUUAUGAGACUUGGGGGCUGAUUCACAGGAGGAGGGAGAGAGAUAAAGAUUCGAGAAGGACCCUCACGUUUCUUUCUCAGGAGAGAGAGGAGGCUAUUAACUGAAGUAGGACAAGAGGAGGGGUGGGCCCAGGGAUGAGGAGAUGUCAUUUCAGUUUUGGUCGCAGUUCCCAGGGACCGAAUAUAAGUGGAAGUGGAUGCGGUCUGAGGAGCCUGGGAUUGGGGGUGGGGGGAGGUCUUGGAUUAGAGAACAGUCAGGACUAACUCACGGGGACAUGGAUCAGGGUAGAAACCAUAGGUGUGAACACGCUCUGCCAGGGAAAGUCAUGUGCAUCGGGAAGACGACCCCUGUGGGAUGGGCAGAGGCAAAGGACCUCUGCAAAGGUGGCUGGGAAACGUGAGACAGUGAGGCGUGCAGCGCGGUCGUGAGGAUUCAGUGCCGUGGAGAGGUUAAGCAGGACGGUGACCAAGGAGCUGCUGGCCUUAACGAUUCUGAGAUGAACCAGCCAGGGGUCUGGGAAACCGACUCUGGCUUCUUAGGAAAAGUAGAGAAAUGGGAAGGAUCGCCUAGUGUUGGAGCCCUGGGGCCAAGAGGCAAAGAGCACAGCUGUCUCUCAGCAGGAACUGGCAUCGGACACGGCACCCCCUGGGCACCGCGGGCACAGCCACCAAGAGGGCCCCCCACCGGCCUCUGUCCUGGCCACUUGGUUCCUCCAGAACACAGCAUGAGGGCCUCAGACUGGCGACACUUGGAUCCUGGGCCCACAGCUCCGUGUCCAGGGCACAAAGACAGAUGCUCAGAAUUCCUUCAGUUCUUUCAGUAAAUGUUUACUGAGCACCAAGUAUGUGUCAGGCACAGUUCUAGGCCCUUGAAUACAGCAACCAAAUCCAAAAAGAGCCUCGUCUUCGUGGCACUUACAUCGGAGGGGGCCACAAACUGCACACAGAAACACAGGGAUAAUGAGCCGGUUAAGGACAAAGGAAAAGUAUAAGGAAGAUAAGGGGUGGGGCAGAAAGGGUACAGGUUGCAGUUUUAAGGUGGCCCACCAGAAGGCAGGGGCAUGCCAGCUGUGCACGGGGAAACAACAAGGAAGCUGGUGUGGCCACAGCACAGGAACGAGGGGAAGGGUGGAGACGGGGCCAGAGGGGUUGGGGCAGCAGGCUCUGUGAGACCUUACGGGCCCCUCCCUAUAAGGAGUUGGGCUCGUGUGUGCAUCGUGAAGGUGAGGCUGGCAGGAUCUGCGGACAGAGCAGAGCGUGAGCAAAAUCAGAAAUUCAGGUUUCAGGCCCGAAGAGCUAGAAAGAUUGAGUUGCUGUCAGUGGAGAUGGAGGAGGCUGUGGGGGAAGCAGUUGGUGCAGGGGGAGGUGGGGAGUGAAGGGGAGAUGGAGAGUUCUAGGACAGAUCACCCAGUGGGGCAUUCCUCUGAAACAGAAAGCGGGGCACUGGCCAGGCGAUGACCUCCAGAAAACACUGGUGACAGGUGGUGACUGGUGACUGACCCCUGGCAGAGCAAUUUCGGCAGGGGUGAGGAGGGCCGGAGAGUCAACUCGAGUGGUGUAAAUCAGGUCUCCUGAUUUACAAAGCAGAGCAGGGGUGGGAGACAGAGAGACCAGGGGACAAGUGCCGGGGAGUGGCCUUUUGGACGGAGGUGGCCUGAGCCCAUUUGGAGGGUGAGAGGAAAGAGGUAGAUGCAAGAGGGGUUGCAGAUCAGGAUAAAGAGACCCCACAAGAGGGAGGAGGGAUGGGUCCCAGCAGAGGCUUAGCCUAGACAAGCAGAGGUUCGAGCUCAAGGCGCUUGGGUCCGGGAACAAAGACAAGGGUCCCAGGGACAUUUCGACAGAAGUGGCCAGGCCAACGGUGGAGAGUGGGAAGUCAGGCAUGACUCUGGGAUUUUCAAGCCCAACUCCGCCAUCCAUCCUGAAGGCCUUCCGCGUCCCCUUCUGAGUCCAGACUUCCUCAUCUUCACACCAGCCAGCUGCGGGGCCUCACCCUGCACCCUGCCACGGCCAAGGUAAACUGCACCCAGAAGGCUCAACGCCCUGAGCACCGACUCCUACCUGAACCCAAAGCCACGCAGCUGCUUUCUCUGCUUCUGCUGCGGGCCACUGUUGGGGAAUACUGCCCAGCCGAUGUCCCCCAGCCCCAAGGGGCUCCCUCUCCUGCUCUCCGCCUGAGCCCCCCACCCAGCAAUGGCUGUGCUUCCUGUUUCAGAAAAAAAAAAAUUACAGUGCAGAGUAAGAGAAAUCAAAUUCAGAAGAGUACACAUUGUAAGAUUCCACUUUUAUGAAGCUCUAGAACCAGCAAAAUGAAUCUCUCCUGAUCUACAGUGAUAGAAAUCACAUCGGUGUUUGCCUGUGUCUGGAGGAAUGUAAUGGGAUAUGAAGGAACUUUCUGGGGAGAUGUAAAUGCUCUAUAUCUUUACUGGGGAGGCGGCUACGUGGCUGUAUAGAUUUGUCAAAAGUCAUCACUUGUACAGUUAAGAUGCGUGCAUUUGAUUAUAUGUCAAUUAUUCCAUACAAAGUUGAUUUAAAAAAAAUAGAGAACCAUGGAUGUUAAUUAAACUCCUUGCGGUAAUCAUUGCACAAUAUAUACAUAUAUCAAAUCAUGAUGUUGUGCACCUGAAACUAAUACAAAGUUAUGAAUUGUAUCUCAAUAGAAGUGGGGAAAAAAACCCAGAGGACUAAAAAAUGUUGUAAAAAGAGA